UACGUAGGGUGCAAGCGUUAAUCGGAAUUACUGGGCGUAAAGCGUGCGCAGGCGGUGAUGUAAGACAGAUGUGAAAUCCCCGGGCUCAACCUGGGAACUGCAUUUGUGACUGCAUCGCUGGAGUGCGGCAGAGGGGGAUGGAAUUCCGCGUGUAGCAGUGAAAUGCGUAGAUAUGCGGAGGAACACCGGUGGCGAAGGCGGCAUCCUGGACCGGCAUUGACGCUGAGGCGCGAAAGCUAGGGGAGCAAACGGG
rnacentral:rRNA from 1 species